CCCCCGCCCCCUCGGCGGCGACGGCGGCGGGUGGUGCAGGCUCGGCCCCAGCGCUGAGGGAGCACUGAGCCGACCCAAGGUCUGCAAGGAGUUCGCGGCACCCGCCCGCCCACGCCGGACCCGGAGGGCACGUCCGCCGGGAGGGGCAGUUCCCACGAGGAAAGUCCCAUUGAUGCGAGUUGGCAGUGUAGAGGAUGCUCCCCUCCGGCCGCCGCGGAAGCCGUCGUCCAAAUGCAGGCGAGCGGGGAGGAGGAGGCCGGGAUGCGGCCGGCGGGCCACCUGCUCUCGCCGGCCUGCCAGUCUCCUGCUUGCUCUGAAGCCCUGCCAUAGACGGCCCCGCUCCCCCGUGUAUCCACUGAAACAUUUUUUUAUAAAAACGCUGCGCACAGUUUUAGACUCCUUUCCUGGAAUCGCUUUGCUCCAACUAAGUUAACACGUAACAAAGUUUGUUUUCCAGCCUCGCCCUUGAUCUUCAGAAUGCCCCUCUCGGCUAGGAGGGCUUCUCCAAGUGGAAGUGGUUAGGCAGUUUUGUUUUUGGCCGCCAGGCGUAGGACGCGAGAAGGGGGUGCAGCGGCCGGGGACCAGGGCGGCGGUCCCCGCGGUGGGAUCGCGCCAGCGCCGGGAGGCCGGGGAGAGGGUGUUCUCUGCCGGGAGCCGAGGCGAGGCUGCUGGGUACUGUGUCCGGCUUUUAUGGCUCUGCAGCUCCUAGGAUCGUGGCUCAUGCAGGUGUUGUGGAUUAAUCUAUUUUAUGCAUAAGCCUAUUAACAUUAGGGAUUUUAAUUCUAGAAACUGCUUAGUUAAUACGUAUGUGUACACACACACACACACACACACACACACACACACACACACACACACACACACACACACACACACACACCUGGCCACUGACCCAGCAGCUUUCUCUUGAACUACAUUUACUUUAAAGAGAGGAGCGAUUUGUCCUCUCCAGUUCCUCAGCUCAUCUUUCUAUUCCAUGAGACUGAAAGUUAAUUAAAAGUGGAGAUCUAGCCUUAACCAGUUCUGUUUUCCCAGCUCCCAGUUAAUGCAAUAUCUGGCACAAAUAAGUAUUCAAUAAAUAUCUGUUGGAUGAGUAAGUGCCCUGGAUUUCUAAUUUAUUCCAAUUCUCUGCUUACUUUAAAAAAGAAAAAAAAAGCAAUAUUGGGGAUAUUUGUUGAAGUUGUUAAUAAGAGUGAACAUUUGGAAACACUUAAAUGACCAAAGGUAGGGAUUAUGUAAAUUAUGUCAACGAUUAAAAGUGAAGAGGUAGACUUAGUAAUAGGAAAUAAUGUUCAUGAUAUUAAAUCAAGCAAAAUAUUACAAAUUUCCUGUUUUAUAAUAAAAGUUUAAAUAUGUACGAAAUUAAAAAUAUACAUUAUAAAAUAUUUUAUAUGUACAUGUAUGUUGAAAAAAGUCUGAAAAUAUACAUGAAAAUGUUAGCUGAUUUUCUCCCCUCAUUUGUGGAAUUACACGUGCACUUUUUUGUUCUUGUUUGCUUGUCUCUACUUUUUAAAUAUCCUAUAGUUAAUAUAUGUCAUUUGUAAAAUAAGUGGUAAGAAGAAAAAUAAAAGGAACAUAAAGUAGCAUCAUCUGGAAAAUAAAAUAGGAACACUGCUUCCUUAGAAUAUUGCCAAUUAUCUAUAUAUUCCAGUUCUUUUUUUUUUUUUAAACCAAGUCUACAAUCAGAUAUCUGCGGCUGAUACUGCACUUAGAUUUAAGGAUGUAACACAAUUACAGUACUUUAAAGAAAUGUCUUCUGGCAUUACCAGUAGUAGUUUUAAUGUCAACAAGCGUGCUCCCUCCGUUAUAGCUUUAAAAAUCUUGGUGCAAUUUAUUUAUUCUAGUUACUGCCUAAAACAAAAAUCACAAAACUUGAGGUCUGGCAGAGGGUUGGAUUUCAACCCUCCAUGUAUCACCACAUUUCACCCUUAAAGAAAAGUAGAGAUCUAUCAGUAGAAAUUAUACCAGAUUCUUACAGUUGUUCUGAUUUUCAACAAAUCUUUUAUCAUAUUAUAAAAUCCCUCUAUAUUCUACAUUAACUCCUUCCUAAUACAAUUUAACUUCAUUUUCUCUCGGUGUUUUAUGAAAGUUGAGUACAACUAAUCUACUUUUAAGUUACUUGAGGUACAUAAGUGCCUAAAUCCAGUAGUAUUUUAAUCAUUAUAACUGUAUGCUAUUAAAGACAAUUAUUCAAUUACUCUAUUUCUUGCAGGAGAAAAAAUUACAUUCAAUCUUUCAUCGAAACUAGUUUUUUCUCUGUUACUAUUUCAGUCGUUUGAGUGGUUAGGUUCUCCAUAUUUGCUCUUAGAGUGAAUGGCAGGUCUGGUGAAAAGGAACAAGUUAUUAGUGUUUGCAAGUGACACUCAACUAGGAAGCAGAAGUUUAGAUAAAUUUUAGUAAGGAAUACAUUUUAUAAUGUGUUUGCUUUUUAAACAGUAGCACUACUUUAUUGUUUAUAGUCAGAUUGAUACUUGUUAAAACCCCUAAAUUUUCUUCUUUGAUACUUGCCAAUUGCUAGCUAUUCCUCCUUUUGAAACUUCUUUUUCUUCCUUGCAUCUUUUAGCCGACCCAUAUGACUUACUCAUUUUGUUUACUUCUUACUACUUCUCCAAUUUUUAUUUUGAUUCUAAUCUGGUCAUUGAGAAUGUGACUUCCUCUUCUUAGUUUUCGUUUCCCAGCUAGGUUUCAUUUGCUGUGUCAGUGACUGUUUUUUUUUUUCUGGUAGUAUUAGUCAUUGAUAAAAAAUGUUCUAUAAGAAGAUCGAGUCCAGGACCAUACCUUUGGAAGAUAACUGCUUAAUUCUGAGGAUACAAUUACUCCAUUCAUAGUCACUCCCUUGGUUCUAUUCUCUACCCUCCUGCAUGCAGUUAAUAAUUCUAGUAUAUAACUAGAAUUCUAGUAAUAAUUCUAGUAUGUAAACCAUAUUUUAUCGGUUUGGGAUACAGUUGUAAUACUGAACAGAAACAAAAGCCUUAUCAAAAUCUUAGUUCCCUUUAAUCUCUCUGCCUUGGUACAUAGGCCAUUUGAAGAUAAAGCAAGUAAAAAGCCACAAAAUUUGGUCAGACUAUUUCUUGGUAACUUCAUAGUUAAACCGCACAUUUGAGACAUCUAAAGGCCAUUUACACGACAAGCAAUGAAUUAAAUUUAACAAAUGUUACAAUCCCAUCCAGUGUUAAUUAUGUCUUGGUCACAGCAGAACAGAGCCCCUGAGUAUUGUGUCUUUAAAUUUUAAUCUCUGUCCCAAAAUCUCAUAUAAAUUUCCUUUUAAAUAAUUCUUUAAAGAGACUCUCUAUGACUAACAGUUUUAAAUGAAGAAUAAACCUAUGUUUAUGGAAGAUGAAGAUAUGUUAAAAAAUGAAAUCUAGAAGGGUAUGCAGUAAAAUUUCAACAGUUAUUAUCUAC
rnacentral:lncRNA from 1 species